rnacentral:rRNA from 1 species
UGACGUAGGGUGCAAGCGUUGUCCGGAAUUAUUGGGCGUAAAGAGCUCGUAGGCGGUCUGUCGCGUCGGCUGAUGAAAUCCCGAGGCUCAACCUCGGGUCUGCAGUCGGAUACGGGCAAACUAGAGUAUUGCAGGGGAGACUGGAAUUCCCGGUGUAGAGGUGAAAUUCGUAGAUAUCGGGAGGAACACCGGUGGCGAAGGCGGCGAUCUGGGUCGAUACUGACGCUGAGGUGCGAAAGCGUGGGGAGCAAACAGG